AGAGUUUGAUCCUGGCUCAGAAUCAACGCUGGCGGCGUGCCUAACACAUGCAAGUCGAACGAGAAAGUGGAGCAAUCCAUGAGUAAAGUGGCGCACGGGUGAGUAACACGUGACUAACCUACCCUGGAGUGGGGGAUAACUGAGGGAAACCUUAGCUAAUACCGCAUAACACCUACGGGUCAAAGGAGCAAUUCGCUUUAGGAGGGGGUCGCGGCAGAUUAGCUAGUUGGCGGGGUAAUGGCCCACCAAGGCAGUGAUCUGUAUCCGGCCUGAGAGGGCGCACGGACACACUGGAACUGAAACACGGUCCAGACUCCUACGGGAGGCAGCAGUGGGGAAUUUUGCGCAAUGGGGGAAACCCUGACGCAGCAACGCCGCGUGGAGGAUGAAGUCUCUUGGGACGUAAACUCCUUUCGAUCGGGAAGAUUAUGACGGUACCGAUAGAAGAAGCCCCGGCUAACUUCGUGCCAGCAGCCGCGGUAAUACGAGGGGGGCAAGCGUUGUUCGGAAUUAUUGGGCGUAAAGGGUGCGUAGGCGGUUUGGUAAGUCUUGUGUGAAAUCUUCGGGCUCAACUCGAAGUCUGCACGAGAAACUGCCGGGCUUGAGUGUGGGAGAGGUGAGUGGAAUUUCCGGUGUAGCGGUGAAAUGCGUAGAUAUCGGAAGGAACACCUGUGGCGAAAGCGGCUCACUGGACCAUAACUGACGCUGAUGCACGAAAGCUAGGGGAGCAAACAGGAUUAGAUACCCUGGUAGUCCUAGCCCUAAACGAUGAUCGCUUGGUGUGACGGGUACCCAAUCCCGCCGUGCCGAAGCUAACGCGUUAAGCGAUCCGCCUGGGGAGUACGGUCGCA
rnacentral:rRNA from 1 species